rnacentral:rRNA from 1 species
UCGAGCGGAAACAGAGUUAUCUGAACCUUCGGGGAACGAUAACGGCGUCGAGCGGCGGACGGGUGAGUAAUGCCUGGGAAAUUGCCCUGAUGUGGGGGAUAACUAUUGGAAACGAUAGCUAAUACCGCAUAACGUGCUACGGACCAAAGAGGGGGACCUUCGGGCCUCUCGCUUCAGGAUAUGCCCAGGUGGGAUUAGCUAGUUGGUGAGGUAAUGGCUCACCAAGGCGACGAUCCCUAGCUGGUCUGAGAGGAUGAUCAGCCACACUGGAACUGAGACACGGUCCAGACUCCUACGGGAGGCAGCAGUGGGGAAUAUUGCACAAUGGGCGCAAGCCUGAUGCAGCCAUGCCGCGUGUAUGAAGAAGCCUUCGGGUUGUAAAGUACUUUCAGUCGUGAGGAAGGC